rnacentral:rRNA from 1 species
AGAUUGAACACUGGCGGCAGGCCUAACACAUGCAAGUCGAGCGGUAGAGAGGUGCUUGCACCUCUUGAGAGCGGCGGACGGGUGAGUAAUGCCUAGGAAUCUGCCUAGUGGUGGGGGAUAACGUUCGGAAACGGACGCUAAUACCGCAUACGUCCUACGGGAGAAAGCGGGGGACCUUCGGGCCUCGUGCCAUUAGAUGAGCCUAGGUCGGAUUAGCUAGUUGGUGAGGUAAUGGCUCACCAAGGCGACGAUCCGUAACUGGUCUGAGAGGAUGAUCAGUCACACUGGAACUGAAG